CACAUUCGAAAGUCCAGGUACGACAUCAAGUACGGCACCUGCACUUUCAUCGCUGGGUUCUCCUGGCGCGUUCCGAAGCCUCGGAUGUUCCUCCCUCAUCCGAAGGUAAUGCGCCCGCCUCGCCUCGCUCGCUCCAGCGCGCGAGGCGUCUU
rnacentral:sRNA from 5 species